rnacentral:misc_RNA from 1 species
UACGGAGGGUGCAAGCGUUGUUCGGAAUUACUGGGCGUAAAGCGCACGUAGGCGGGCUGGUAAGUCGAUUGUGAAAGCCCGGGGCUUAACCUCGGAAUUGCAGUCGAAACUGCUAGUCUUGAGUGCUUGAGAGGGUGGCGGAAUUCCUGGUGUAGAAGUGAAAUUCGUAGAUAUCAGGAGGAACACCUGAGGCGAAGGCGGCUGCCUGGCAAGACACUGACGCUGAGGUGCGAAAGCGUGGGGAGCAAACAGG